AAAUCUUCUGUAUAGCAAAGAAAAUGAUCAACAAAAUGAAGAGACAAACUGCUAAAUGGGAGAAGAAAAUUGCGAAGGAUAUAUCUGCUAACACACUUUCAUAAACAUGGAGUGAUUGGAACGAGGAACUGGACUCUUGGGAAUCCCACGUGACAAGUUUGAAAGUCACCUCUCUCAGAAUAUCUAAAACACCAAACUGGUUUUCCAAGCCCUGCUGAAAUAUGCUAUCAACCAGUUUAGCCAAGAAUUUCAGAACUGGUGUCUUAUACAACCUGGCUAAGACUGCCAUGCCAGAUCCAGAGGGAGAGGCUUCAGCCUGAAUGGAAAACUCUUUUUAACAGAAUAAUCUUGAAGCAGAAGAACUAAGCCAACCUGCAAACAUUUAUACCACUCAGGACACAGGGCAUUCCACAUGAUCACUGAUACAGUUCCUGAAUUGUCAGCAACUUCCAAAAAGUUACACACCAAAUGGCGGACAGUUUGGAGUUUUGAGAAGAAAGCUGAAGGCAUAGAAGGAGGUUGCUUGUUCGUUAACCAGAUAUCUCCAUACGGAUCUUCGUUAUUCCACAGGGCCAGGUACCGUUGGACGGCCAGCACAUCGACAGAAGUCUCCUCCGAGGGAGUGAGCCACUGGAGAGGUGAGUCUGUUACUUGCUCAAGAACCUUUUGGAUCCAGGACCUCGGCUCUAGGGCACCGGC